rnacentral:tRNA from 1 species
AGCCCCGUGGGGAAGCGGCAAUCCCUCCUGGCCUUGGACCAGGGAUCCCCGGUUCGAAUCCGGGCGGGGCAA